GCCCAGAGGCUGCCCUGGGAGCCUGCAUUGCGCCGGGAGGGAGAACAGAGGUGGGCAGAGCUGGGCAGAGUUGAGACAGCGGAGAUGGGCAGGGAUCGUGAGGAUUGCGGACCCUGCUCCGAGCUGAUGUCAUCAGCUUUUGGGACCUGCCCAGGCCUGUGGCUGCCUCAGGACUGACACCAGGAGCCUUCUAGCUCAGCCUGGGACAGUCACAGCACUGCAGUUGCCAGACUUCCUGCCAAGGACACAGGGACAGGCAGCUCUCCAGGGGACUGCCUGCACCCUCCAAGCACAGCCAACUACAGCCCUGGAGUCCCGGCGGCUCCAGCAGGGACAAAGGUCUGACUGACGGGCAGAACCUGGCUUUUCUCUCCAGCACGGGGACUCUGGCCCCAAGGAUGAAGGCUUCGUAGGAGUUUUCCGGUCCAAGCCCCAAGCUCCAGAAUGAGGACAGUGAGGCCCAGAGAGGAACCGAUUUGCCCAAGGAGACGGGACGCUCAGGGCAGACCUGGGAGUCCCUGGGCCAUGUUCUGAUGUGGGACAAGGAUGAAGUCACCAGUGCUGGACCCAUCGGGCACCCUGUCUCAGGCGAAAUAGGAUAAGGUCUCCACGAGCCAACAGCGGCUGCUCCCCCAAGGCAGUCCUUCAAGGCAUGUGGGAGACAUAGAUCCAGCAAAGAAUUCCUGUGAGUGCCCUUGUUUCCUAGCCAGGAAGCUGUUGCGGGCAGUACAGUCUCGGAGGGCCGUGCUAAGCA